rnacentral:rRNA from 1 species
UACAGAGGUCUCAAGCGUUGUUCGGAUUCAUUGGGCGUAAAGGGCGCGUAGGCGGCCACCGCAAGUCGAUUGUGAAAUCUCCGGGCUUAACCCGGAAAGGUCAACCGAUACUGCGGGGCUAGAGUGCAGAAGGGGCAACUGGAAUUCUCGGUGUAGCGGUGAAAUGCGUAGAUAUCGAGAGGAACACCUGCGGCGAAGGCGGGUUGCUGGGCUGACACUGACGCUGAAGUGCGAAAGCUAGGGGAGCGAACGGG